GACGAACGCUGGCUGCGUGCUUAACACAUGCAAGUCGAACGGUGAACGUUUGAGCUUGCUCCCUCCGGAUCAGUGUCGAACGGGUGAGUAACACUUGAGCAAUCUUCCCCGAACUCUGGGAUAACCGUUGGAAACGACCUCUAAUACCGGAUACGACGCGGGAGGGCAUCCUCUCCGCGUGCAACGAACUUCGGUUCGGGAUGAGCUCGCGGCCUAUCAGCUUGUUGGUGAGGUAACUGCUCACCAAGGCGACGACGGGUAGCCGGCCUGAGAGGGUGACCGGCCACACUGGGAAGGAGACACGGCCCAGAGGCCUAAGGGAGGCAGCAGUGGGGAAUAUUGCAGAAUGGGCGCAAGCAUGAUGCAGAAACGCCGCGGGAGGGACGACGGCCUGCGGGGUGUAAACCUCUUUUAGCAGGGAAGAAGCGAAAGUGAAGGUACCUGCAGAAAAAGCACCGGCUAACUACGUG
rnacentral:rRNA from 1 species